rnacentral:rRNA from 1 species
GGGUUGUGAGGUUAAGCGACUAAGCGUACACGGUGGAUGCCCUGGCAGUCAGAGGCGAUGAAGGGCGUGCUAAUCUGCGAUAAGCGCCGGUAAGGUGAUAUGAACCGUUAUAACCGGCGAUACCCGAAUGGGGAAACCCAGUGUGAUUCGUCACACUAUCAUUAACUGAAUCCAUAGGUUAAUGAGGCGAACCGGGGGAACUGAAACAUCUAAGUACCCCGAGGAAAAGAAAUCAACCGAGAUUCCCCCAGUAGCGGCGAGCGAACGGGGAGGAGCCCAGAGCCUGAAUCAGCAUGUGUGUUAGUGGAAGCGUCUGGAAAGGCGCGCGAUACAGGGUGACAGCCCCGUACACAAAAGCGCAUGUGCUGUGAGCUCGAUGAGUAGGGCGGGACACGUGGUAUCCUGUCUGAAUAUGGGGGGACCAUCCUCCAAGGCUAAAUACUCCUGACUGACCGAUAGUGAACCAGUACCGUGAGGGAAAGGCGAAAAGAACCCCGGCGAGGGGAGUGAAAAAGAACCUGAAACCGUGUACGUACAAGCAGUGGGAGCACNNNNNNNNNNNNNNNNCUGCGUACCUUUUGUAUAAUGGGUCAGCGACUUAUAUUCUGUAGCAAGGUUAACCGAAUAGGGGAGCCGGAGGGAAACCGAGUCUUAAUUGGGCGUUAAGUUGCAGGGUAUAGACCCGAAACCCGGUGAUCUAGCCAUGGGCAGGUUGAAGGUUGGGUAACACUAACUGGAGGACCGAACCGACUAAUGUUGAAAAAUUAGCGGAUGACCUGUGGCUGGGGGUGAAAGGCCAAUCAAACCGGGAGAUAGCUGGUUCUCCCCGAAAGCUAUUUAGGUAGCGCCUCGUGAAUUCAUCUCCGGGGGUAGAGCACUGUUUCGGCUAGGGGGCCAUCCCGGCUUACCAACCCGAUGCAAACUGCGAAUACCGGAGAAUGUUAUCACGGGAGACACACGGCGGGUGCUAACGUCCGUCGUGAAGAGGGAAACAACCCAGACCGCCAGCUAAGGUCCCAAAGUCAUGGUUAAGUGGGAAACGAUGUGGGAAGGCCCAGACAGCCAGGAUGUUGGCUUAGAAGCAGCCAUCAUUUAAAGAAAGCGUAAUAGCUCACUGGUCGAGUCGGCCUGCGCGGAAGAUGUAACGGGGCUAAACCAUGCACCGAAGCUGCGGCAGCGACACUGUGUGUUGUUGGGUAGGGGAGCGUUCUGUAAGCCUGUGAAGGUGUGUCGUGAGGCAUGCUGGAGGUAUCAGAAGUGCGAAUGCUGACAUAAGUAACGAUAAAGCGGGUGAAAAGCCCGCUCGCCGGAAGACCAAGGGUUCCUGUCCAACGUUAAUCGGGGCAGGGUGAGUCGACCCCUAAGGCGAGGCCGAAAGGCGUAGUCGAUGGGAAACGGGUUAAUAUUCCCGUACUUGGUGUUACUGCGAAGGGGGGACGGAGAAGGCUAUGUUGGCCGGGCGACGGUUGUCCCGGUUUAAGCGUGUAGGUGUGUGUUCCAGGUAAAUCCGGUUCACUUUAACACUGAGGCGUGACGACGAGGCACUACGGUGCUGAAGCAACAAAUGCCCUGCUUCCAGGAAAAGCCUCUAAGCAUCAGGUAACAUCAAAUCGUACCCCAAACCGACACAGGUGGUCAGGUAGAGAAUACCAAGGCGCUUGAGAGAACUCGGGUGAAGGAACUAGGCAAAAUGGUGCCGUAACUUCGGGAGAAGGCACGCUGACACGUAGGUGAAGUGAUUUACUCAUGGAGCUGAAGUCAGUCGAAGAUACCAGCUGGCUGCAACUGUUUAUUAAAAACACAGCACUGUGCAAACACGAAAGUGGACGUAUACGGUGUGACGCCUGCCCGGUGCCGGAAGGUUAAUUGAUGGGGUCAGCGCAAGCGAAGCUCCUGAUCGAAGCCCCGGUAAACGGCGGCCGUAACUAUAACGGUCCUAAGGUAGCGAAAUUCCUUGUCGGGUAAGUUCCGACCUGCACGAAUGGCGUAAUGAUGGCCAGGCUGUCUCCACCCGAGACUCAGUGAAAUUGAACUCGCUGUGAAGAUGCAGUGUACCCGCGGCAAGACGGAAAGACCCCGUGAACCUUUACUAUAGCUUGACACUGAACAUUGAGCCUUGAUGUGUAGGAUAGGUGGGAGGCUUUGAAGUGUGGACGCCAGUCUGCAUGGAGCCGACCUUGAAAUACCACCCUUUAAUGUUUGAUGUUCUAACGUGGACCCGUUACCCGGGUUGCGGACAGUGUCUGGUGGGUAGUUUGACUGGGGCGGUCUCCUCCUAAAGAGUAACGGAGGAGCACGAAGGUUGGCUAAUCCUGGUCGGACAUCAGGAGGUUAGUGCAAUGGCAUAAGCCAGCUUGACUGCGAGCGUGACGGCGCGAGCAGGUGCGAAAGCAGGUCAUAGUGAUCCGGUGGUUCUGAAUGGAAGGGCCAUCGCUCAACGGAUAAAAGGUACUCCGGGGAUAACAGGCUGAUACCGCCCAAGAGUUCAUAUCGACGGCGGUGUUUGGCACCUCGAUGUCGGCUCAUCACAUCCUGGGGCUGAAGUAGGUCCCAAGGGUAUGGCUGUUCGCCAUUUAAAGUGGUACGCGAGCUGGGUUUAGAACGUCGUGAGACAGUUCGGUCCCUAUCUGCCGUGGGCGCUGGAGAACUGAGGGGGGCUGCUCCUAGUACGAGAGGACCGGAGUGGACGCAUCACUGGUGUUCGGGUUGUCAUGCCAAUGGCACUGCCCGGUAGCUAAAUGCGGAAGAGAUAAGUGCUGAAAGCAUCUAAGCACGAAACUUGCCCCGAGAUGAGUUCUCCCUGAGACUUAGAGUCUCCUGAAGGAACGUUGAAGACGACGACGUUGAUAGGCCGGGUGUGUAAGCGCAGCGAUGCGUUGAGCUAACCGGUACUAAUGAACCGUGAGGCUUAACCUUACAACGCCGAAG